rnacentral:tRNA from 1 species
GCUUCCGUAGCUCAGUUGGUUAGAGCUUCGUACUAAUACUACAACUUGAUAGUCUUGGUGAUGCGAAGGUCGCAGGUUCAAGCCCUGCCGGGAGCA